AUUUCAGUAACGCUCUGGGACAAUAAUUUACACUAGAAAAACGAAACGUGCGAUCCUUAAAUUCUGUUACAUUUAAAAUAGAAAGUUAACAGUCACAAUAAUUGUACACCCAUCGUUUCUGACCAAUUGGAAACAUCGUUCGGACCGUUAAUCACUGCCUGUGUUGGGUUUCAUGCGUCAUGCUAAUGGCCGUUCUAUCCGCUCGAUGUAUUUAUUUCUAUGAGAAAUCAAGAGGGAAAAGGCUGAGUAUGAAGUAAACAGAUGUUCUCAGUGUCUUGAUAACGUUCAAAACCUUUCACAAUCAACAACCACCUAAAUGUUUUUCGCAGUCUGUCAUCUGGCGAAUUCACCGCGUGUCGGCCGAUGCGGAGGCGUUUUCCAUGAAUCCCUGCUGCACUACAGUAUGUGCAGGAGGCCUACAACUUAACAGGGGCCUCAAACAGGGAGGAGACCAUGAACCUCAACGAGAAGAAGCCCAACAAGUGGUGGACAGAACCGGACACGUUUGCCAUGCUGGCCCUAAUAGAGCAGCUGGAUCUGGUCCACGAGCUGGAUAAGAAGCGUCAGCGCAACGAAUCCCUCUUCCGACGCCUCAGGCUGAGUCUGGCAAAGCGGGGAAUCCACUUCACUGUCACCCAAAUCCGAAACCGUUGGAAGAGUCUCAAACACAAGUACCGUAAGAUCAAACUGGCCAGCUACCGAAGUCCAGCCGCUCGCCUCUCUGCCAUCGAGUCUUUCCGCUACUUCCAUAUGCUGGAUCACAUGUUGGUGCGCAGACCGAAGGCGGGAGGCAGGGAGGACGACCUCACAGAUGCUCACGCCCUGCUAGGACGGUCACUCGUGGACCUGGAUGACCAUGCAGACAGUCCUUGGCCUGAAGGCAUAAUCCCUAAAUCUGAGCCCGAGAGCAUGUCUUCUAAACUUGAACCUGAUGUUGACGACAGUCUGAAUCCAGAUGACGUGGCUGGUUCUGAGCCUCCAAGCUGGGCUGUAGGACCAGAUGAAGUUAUGACCCUGGGCUUGUCAGGAGAAUACCUCUAUGCAGUGAAGACCGAGCCACCAUCCCUAUGCACUCCCAACAGCACAGAAAGUACAAGAGAUGCUGUUGACUGCAGCUACAAUGAUUUCCCAGCAGGAACUUCUGAAGAGACUAGCAGCCUGAUCCUCCAGCAGCUAACCAUCCUGAACCACCGGCUUGGAGAACAGCUGGCUGAGCAGAGAGCCUUCCACUGCAGCAUGCUGGGAAUGAUGGAUCGCCAGAUCCAGGUCCUGGAGCAGCUCUCCAAUUUCACCAGGAACCAUCAAUCCAAGCUUGAGACGCCAGACACGGACUCUUCAGUCAGUCCAAAUGUGCAUGAAGCUCAAACGCAGACUUUUGAGCCAUAUCCCACGUUCCUCAUGCCCAAAAGCGAACCAGCAGCUGCUCCUUGGAAGGUCUCCCUCUUGGAAGUCCACAAGAGGUCAACACACAGUGACACUGAGACUCCUCAAACCCUGGAAGGGUGCAAAGCAAACACCUCUAGCCCACCACCUUUAGAGAUUUCGUCCUCAACCAAGAACACUAUUGUGCUGAAUGGAUUGUGUAAGCACGAUUGAGUGCUGCUUGUUUGGGACGUUACACAUUCAGUAGGAACAACAAAAGUCUUUUGUUCUGUAGAUGUUUCAGGUGGUGGUCUGAUCUGAAACAUCAACAUAUGCGUUUUUCAGUUUCAUAGGAAAGUAUUCAGUGCUCUGAUGUUUUAAUCAGUAACACUUUUGAGAAAUAGAACAAUAGACUCAUUAUUUAUUUACUUUGGUUUGUUUGCCAACUAACACUCGAUGUGAAUCUUAGAUGGUAAGUAACUUAACAGUGACUGUUUCAAAAUUGCAGUUCGGACCAAGGUAGCUUUAUGUCUGUAAUCAUCUUGCAUUAUCUGAGAAAAAAGUGGGUUAUUGGUAAGCUUAAAGUUGUGUAAAAUAUCAGUUUCUUCCAAUUAGGUUUGGGACACACUUUUAAGGCUGAUUUUAACAAAAGAAGGUGUGUUAUCAUGAAUUUCAUCAUCUAAUCUGAACUCAUGUGGUUAAGUAUGAACUUAUAAGUCUGUUAAUUUCAAUAACUGCUUGCCUCUUAUUAUAAAGUAAUAUUUCACUGAUAUGUGUCAUAGUAUUUUUGACAUGCUAAAUCAAUCAGGGUUGGGAUGUAACGCCACUAAGUCCAGCGA
rnacentral:lncRNA from 1 species